AACAACAACAACAACAGCAAUAACAUCAAAUAGAUGCAUAAUUAAAGGCACGAAUGCUUGUUUUCUAAACUAUGGCACAGUACAACGAAGAGUGUAAUAAACUGCGACAACAACUCUUAGACUGUGUACUUCAAUCACGCUGUUACCGAAUAGAAAAUAAGACCCCCAGAGAAUGCAUCAAUAGAGGAGGAAACAUGCCAGAGGAAUGCAAGAGCCAUCAUAUUGACCUUGUGUACUGCAGAACACCUCAUUUAAAAAAAACAGUGGAAGAAAAACAUAGAAAUUUGAACGAAACCUUCAUAAACAGAUGACGGUGGUUUAAACUUAUUUUAAUUUACCUAUUGACAUUAUACAAAUGGUUUUAUUACCAAAUAAAGUGCUUUUACAAGUA